rnacentral:rRNA from 1 species
UACCAGCACCCCGAGUGGUCGGGACGAUUAUUGGGCCUAAAGCAUCCGUAGCCGGUCCUGCAAGUCUUCCGUUAAAUCCAGCUGCUCAACAGAUGGGCUGCGGGGGAUACUACAUGGCUAGGAGGCGGGAGAGGCAAGCGGUACUUUAUGGGUAGGGGUAAAAUCCGUUGAUCCAUAGAAGACCACCAGUGGCGAAGGCGGCGACCUGGGCCAAUAUUGACGCUGAGGUGCGAAAGCGUGGGGAGCAAACAGG